rnacentral:rRNA from 1 species
UACGGAGGGUGCGAGCGUUGUCCGGAAUCACUGGGCGUAAAGGGCGCGUAGGCGGCCUGAUAAGUAGGGGGUGAAAUCCUGCGGCUUAACCGCAGGGCUGCCUUCUAAACUGUCAGGCUAGAGCACAGUAGAGGCAGGUGGAAUUCCCGGUGUAGCGGUGGAAUGCGUAGAGAUGUGGAGGAACACCGAUGGCGAAGGCAGCCCCCUGGGCUAACACUGACGCUCAUGCACGAAAGCGUGGGGAGCAAACGGG